rfam:Drosophila persimilis strain MSH-3 cont1.003922, whole genome shotgun sequence.
CCUUCGAUAGCUCAGUUGGUAGAGCGGUGGACUGUAGAAAGAGUUUCCUAGUGUAGACAUCCAUAGGUCGCUGGUUCAAAUCCGGCUCGAAGGA